GUCUCUUUGAGGAAUUAAUAAUAAAGAGUUUGGCCUGCUCAGUGAGAUUUUUAACAGCUGCGGUAUUAUAACUGUACUAAGGUAGCAUAAUAAUUUGCCUUAUAAAUUAGGGCUAGAAUGAAUGGUUUGACGAAAAUUAUACUGUCUCUAUUUUAAUUGAUAGAAAUUAAUUUUUAUAGUGAAAAAGCUUAAAUAGUUUAAAGGGACGAGAAGACCCUAUUGAGCUUUAUAUUAGUUAUAAUAAAAUGUAAUUUAUUUAGUUAAAUUAAAUUUAUGUUUAUUAUGUUUAAUUUUGGUUGGGGUGAUCAAGGAAUAAAAUAAAUAUUAUUUAACUUCCUUAAGGAAUUAAUUUUUUAGAAUAAUUAACCAAUGAUAUUGCUUAUAUGAUAAGUUACCAUAGGGAUAACAGCGUAAUUUUUUUGGAGAGUUCAUAUUAAAAAAGAGAUUGCGACCUCGAUGUUGGAUUAAAAUAACCAUAUGGUGAAGAGGCUUUAUAUGGUGAAUCUGUUCGAUUUUUAAAAUUUU
rnacentral:rRNA from 1 species